UGGGGAAUUUUGGACAAUGGGCGCAAGCCUGAUCCAGCCAUGCCGCGUGCGGGAAGAAGGCCUUCGGGUUGUAAACCGCUUUUGUCAGGGAAGAAAUCUUCUGAGUUAGUACCUCGGGAGGAUGACGGUACCUGAAGAAUAAGCACCGGCUAACUACGUGCCAGCAGCCGCGGUAAUACGUAGGGUGCAAGCGUUAAUCGGAAUUACUGGGCGUAAAGCGUGCGCAGGCGGUUUUGUAAGACAGAGGUGAAAUCCCCGGGCUCAACCUGGGAACUGCCUUUGUGACUGCAAGGCUUGAGUGCGGCAGAGGGGGAUGGAAUUCCGCGUGUAGCAGUGAAAUGCGUAGAUAUGCGGAGGAACACCGAUGGCGAAGGCAAUCCCCUGGGCCUGCACUGACGCUCAUGCACGAAAGCGUGGGGAGCAAAACCAGGAUUAGAUAGCCCUGGUAGUCCACGCCCUAAACGAUGUCAACUGGUUGUUGGGAAGGUUCCUUCUCAGUAACGUAGCUAACGCGUGAAGUUGACUGCCUGGGGAGUACGG
rnacentral:rRNA from 1 species